rnacentral:rRNA from 1 species
UGGGGGAAUAUUGGGCAAUGGGGGGAAACCCUGACCCAGCAACGCCGCGUGAGGGAAGAAGGUUUUCGGAUUGUAAACCUCUGUCCUAAGAGAAGAGGGGAAGACGGUAUCUUAGGAGGAAGCCCCGGCUAACUACGUGCCAACAGCCGCGGUAAUACGUAGGGGGCGAGCGUUGUCCGGAAUGACUGGGCGUAAAGGGCGUGUAGGCGGCCGAUUAAGUGUGGAGUGAAAGUCCUGCUUUCAAGGUGGGAAUUGCUUUGCAGACUGGUUGGCUUGAGUGCGGAAGAGGUAAGUGGAAUUCCCAGUGUAGCGGUGAAAUGCGUAGAGAUUGGGAGGAACACCAGUGGCGAAGGCGACUUACUGGGCCGUAACUGACGCUGAGGCGCGAAAGCGUGGGGAGCGAACAGGAUUAGAUACCCUGGUAGU